UCAUUCAGUUUCCCAAACAUUAACCCCAAACCUCCAGAGACUCAAAGUUCAGAGUGAAGCUGCUGCUGCCUCUUCUUCUCCAAUGCUUAAGAGUAGAGGCCAGAGACGGAGUCACCGUCACGGAGAGAGGCAGAGAGCAGAUCAGUAGAGCUUCUUCUCCUCCGACGAUUGAGAAAACCCGCCGUCCUCCGUCGGAGAGCAGAGCUUCUUCUUCUUCUUCUUCUCCUCCUCUUCCUCCGCCGAGCCCGUUGCCGCGCCAUCUGUUAAUGGAAGAAUCAUCUCUUGCAGUCAGAGAUUAAUCAAUAUGAUGCCAAUUUUUAGGGAGUGAAAUGCGGUAUCUAUGGUGCCAAUUGCCCUGGGUGGAUAAUAAGCAUGGAGGCCUGUAAUGCAACAUAGCUAUUGAAGACAUUUCCAAAUGCAUUGAAGUUUCUCAAGACACUUGUGGCUGGUUUUGAGGUAUGCAAUUCUCAAUUUGGAAGUUAUUCAAGCAGCAAUCUCUUUGGCCAAACAGGAAGGUCUUCUUGUUUCUUUGGAUUUGGCCAGUUUUGAGAUGGUGAGAAAAUUUAAGCCACCACUUAUGAAGUUAUUGGAGUCUGACAAUAUAGACCUUUGUUUUGCCAAUCAGGAUGAAGCAACGGAACUUCAAUUGUAAUUUUUUCUGCUGGCUUCUUUCCCAAUUUCGUUCUCUUUUGCUUUGGUUGGAAAAUGUGUAGUUGACUCUGCUGUGAACUGUUUGCUAUUGUGCAUUGAUCACUUGGAGAACAUAACUAACCAUGCCUUUUUCCGAGUUCUUCGGCUUCCCACAAGUGACAGGGAAUGCUGAUAUUGAAGUAGCAAUGGUGGAAAGCCAUGCAAAUCUGAAAAUAAGGUCAAAGAAAAAGCCCAAGCAGCUCUUGAAGAUGGUGUCUAAUUUGCAAGUCAUGCGUCUCACAAUCUUGCAUCUUAAUGUCACCACCACUAACAAUGAUAUUGUCCUCUAUUCUCUCAGCGUUGAGGUUGUGGCUGGAGAGCUUGAACUGAAUCAUGAAUGCAAUUUGAUGCACUGGUUGUCAGAGGAUUUUGAAUCUAAAUUGCAGGUUUUUGUGGAGAUAGGGGCAGACAGAACAACACUCAAAAUCCCAAAAAAUUCUUAGCAUAACAGAAUCUACAUGCAGUUCAAUUCUCUUUGGGAAAGGUUUGGUGGGUGGCGGGGAAAGAAAUGAGCUUUCUCAACUUAGUUAAAAGAAACUCAAAAGCUCUUGCAUAAGGGUCUAAGUCUAAGAUGCUAUCUGGCAUUCUCUCAAAGGUGAACACUACCAUUUACUGUCAACGCAUUCAGGAAACAAUUACACGGCCACAAGCAGUGCCAACACCAUUAUUGUACAGGAAUCCAGUUCUGUCUCUUUCUUUAGGCAACAAGGUUUAUAGAAAAUCAAUGGCUACUUCACCUUUCAAAGCUGUGCUUGGAGAUGUUUAUGUUGAUGACUUGGUCUCCAGUUGCAGCAGUGGUGUGGAUUUCACAAAGCCUGCUGGUGUGUACUUCACGAUUUGAAUAUUUUGUAUUAUUAGUGGAUUGCAAUUUAAAUGAAUAUAACUCUAAGUUUAGUUAUUUAUCUUGUCUUGAGUCUUUAUGUUAGAGGAUUAUUUAUUAUUUUGAUAAGUUUGUAAACUUAUUAUCUAAUAUUUAAAAGUUUAUUUGCAUUAAUUGUUUUCUAUUUUA